CCUACGGGUGGCUGCAGUGGGGAAUAUUGGACAAUGGGCGAAAGCCUGAUCCAGCCAUGCCGCGUGAGUGAUGAAGGCCUUAGGGUUGUAAAGCUCUUUUACUGGGGAAGAUAAUGACGGUACCCACAGAAAAAGCCCCGGCUAACUUCGUGCCAGCAGCCGCGGUAAUACGAAGGGGGCUAGCGUUGUUCGGAUUUACUGGGCGUAAAGCGCACGUAGGCGGAUCGUUAAGUCGGGGGUGAAAUCCUGGAGCUCAACUCCAGAACUGCCUUCGAUACUGGCGAUCUAGAGUCCGGAAGAGGUGAGUGGAACUCCUAGUGUAGAGGUGAAAUUCGUAGAUAUUAGGAAGAACACCAGUGGCGAAGGCGGCUCACUGGUCCGGUACUGACGCUGAGGUGCGAAAGCGUGGGGAGCAAACAGGCUUAGAUACCCGAGUAGUC
rnacentral:rRNA from 1 species